AUUGAAUGCUGGCGGCAGGCCUAACACAUGCAAGUCGAGCGGAUGAAGGGAGCUUGCUCCUGGAUUCAGCGGCGGACGGGUGAGUAAUGCCUAGGAAUCUGCCUGGUAGUGGGGGAUAACGUCCGGAAACGGGCGCUAAUACCGCAUACGUCCUGAGGGAGAAAGUGGGGGAUCUUCGGACCUCACGCUAUCAGAUGAGCCUAGGUCGGAUUAGCUAGUUGGUGGGGUAAGGGCCUACCAAGGCGACGAUCCGUAACUGGUCUGAGAGGAUGAUCAGUCACACUGGAACUGAGACACGGUCCAGACUCCUACGGGAGGCAGCAGUGGGGAAUAUUGGACAAUGGGCGAAAGCCUGAUCCAGCCAUGCCGCGUGUGUGAAGAAGGUCUUCGGAUUGUAAAGCACUUUAAGUUGGGAGGAAGGGCAGUAAGUUAAUACCUUGCUGUUUUGACGUUACCAACAGAAUAAGCACCGGCUAACUUCGUG
rnacentral:rRNA from 1 species